rnacentral:rRNA from 1 species
ACGGAAGGCAGCAGUGAGGAAUAUUGGUCAAUGGAGGCAACUCUGAACCAGCCAUCUCGCGUGAAGGAAUACGGCCCUACGGGUCUUAAACUUCUUUUAUAGGGGGAUAAAGUGAGGCAUGCAUGCCUUUUUGUAGGUACCCUAUGAAUAAGCAUCGGCUAACUCCGUGCCAGCAGCCGCGGUAAUACGGAGGAUGCGAGCGUUAUCCGGAUUUAUUGGGUUUAAAGGGUGCGCAGGCGGCACGUUAAGUCAGCGGUGAAAUGUCGGGGCUCAACCCGGGCACUGCCGUUGAAACUGGCGAGCUUGAGUACGGAUGAAGUCGGCGGAAUGUGAUGUGUAGCGGUGAAAUGCUUAGAUAUGUCACAGAACACCGAUUGCGAAGGCAGCUGACUAAGCCGCAACUGACGCUCAGGCACGAAAGCGUGGGGAUCGAACAGGAUUAGAUACCCUGGUA